AUGAUGUGGUUAAUUCGAUGCAACGCGAAAACCUUAAUCCACCUUUGACAUGUACGGAACCCUUUAGAGAUAGAGGAGUGCUCGAAAGAGAGCCGUAACACAGGUGCUGCAUGGCUGUCGUCAGCUCGUGUCGUGAGAUGUUGGGUUAAGUCCCGCAACGAGCGCAACCCUUGUCAUUAGUUGCUACAUUCAGUUGGGCACUCUAAUGAGACUGCCGGUGACAAACCGGAGGAAGGUGGGGAUGACGUCAAGUCCUCAUGGCCCUUAUAGGUGGGGCUACACACGUCAUACAAUGGAUGGUACAAAGGGUCGCCAACCCGCGAGGGGGAGCCAAUCCCAUAAAGCCAUUCGUAGUCCGGAUCGCAGUCUGCAACUCGACUGCGUGAAGUCGGAAUCGCUAGUAAUCGUGGAUCAGAAUGUCCACGUCGAUACGUUCCGGCCUU
rnacentral:rRNA from 1 species